UACGUAGGUCCCGAGCGUUGUCCGGAUUUAUUGGGCGUAAAGCGAGCGCAGGUGGUUUAUUAAGUCUGGUGUAAAAGGCAGUGGCUCAACCAUUGUAUGCAUUGGAAACUGGUAGACUUGAGUGCAGGAGAGGAGAGUGGAAUUCCAUGUGUAACGGUGAAAUGCGUAGAUAUAUGGAGGAACACCGGUGGCGAAAGCGGCUCUCUGGCCUGUAACUGACACUGAGGUUCGAAAGCGUGGGUAGCAAACAGG
rnacentral:rRNA from 1 species